CAUAAAAUUUGAAUGGAGCGACUUAUAAAAUAUUGAUCCUUGUUGACGCUUUGGUCAGUUUUCCGAGAACGAUUACGGGUUUUAGUUGAUCUUAUAAGCAGGAGUUUUAUAAAAAGUUUAAAAGAGAGAAGAGUCGAAGUUGAAAGAAUGGAGGAAGGUUUCUGCCCAACUGAGGGUUACACAAGACUGAUGAGGAUCCUAAGAAGUAGCGCAAAGCCAAAACCAAUAUCGGGUAAAAUGGAGUACGAUGGAAUAAUCUUAGGAGUUAUUAUAUAUUUACUUUUAAUAGGUGUAUUGGUAGUUAUUAAUGAGGUUUUCUGCAAGACAAUAUGCAUAAAGAACGCACAGCAGAUACGGCAACAACAGGCAGCGCCAGAUGUUGAGCUCAACGAGCGCAAACCUACAAAAAAUCCAAAGAAGGAGACAAUUUACAAACAGCCGAGAAGCCAAUCGGCUUAUCGGUCAAACUACAUGUAGCUUAGUUUAUCUCUUCAACAAGAGAUGGCGCUGUCACAGGUACUGCCAAGUCUUGUUACCUCAAUCACUUUAUAGAUGUCGCGGCACUAAAAAUUCUAAAACCUCCAAAUCUUCUUGGGAAAUAUUUUAAUUAGGCUAGUCAAAAUGAAACAGCAUGUCAUAUAAAAUUAUUUACUUAUAACUUAACUAGUUAUUUUUACAAUGUCUAAUUAAAGCAGCUCCAAUAAAUACAAGAAUUCUU